rnacentral:tRNA from 1 species
GACGCGGUGGUCUAAUAUUGGUUAGCGCGUUGGACUCCGGAUCGAGCAGUCCGGGUUCGAGCCCUGGCCGGGGAAUUG